CCCUGCCAUAGCCGUACCCAGCGCUGCCCCACGACGCCCUGUAACGGCCAUGUCAGUGGCAACCCCAUCGCGCCACACGAUGACCAAUCCCCAAAAGAACCCCCCAGCCUGGUAUAUAUGCGGCUGGGGGGGAAGGGGGAGGGUAAGCAAGAUUUUCCAGAGUAUCAUCUUACCUGCUACCUCUCCUUCUCCUUCGAUCUUCCCUAACUUGAUCGUCGGAGGGCCCCC
rnacentral:lncRNA from 1 species